UACGGAGGAUGCAAGCGUUAUCCGGAAUGAUUGGGCGUAAAGCGUCCGCAGGUGGCUAUGUAAGUCUGCUGUUAAAGAGUGAGGCUCAACCUCAUAAGAGCAGUGGAAACUACAUGGCUAGAGUGCGUUCGGGGCAGAGGGAAUUCCUGGUGUAGCGGUGAAAUGCGUAGAUAUUGGGAGGAACACCGGUGGCGAAGGCGGCUCUCUGGACCGGUACUGACGCUGAGACGCGAAAGCCAGGGGAGCAAACGGG
rnacentral:rRNA from 1 species